rnacentral:rRNA from 1 species
GCUGUUAGUUGCCAUCAUUACUCNCCGGAGUAGUGGGGCGAAUUAAUGGGACCGCCGUAGCAAUGCGGAGGAAGGAAGGGGCCACGGCAGGUCAGUAUGCCCCGAAACUCUGGGGCCACACGCGGGCUGCAAUGGUAAUGACAAUGGGUCCCGAAUCCGAAAGGAGGAGGCAAUCCUCAAACAUUACCACAGUUAUGACUGAGGGCUGCAACUCGCCCUCACGAAUAUGGAAUCCCUAGUAACUGCGCGUCAUUACCGCGCGGUGAAUACGUCCCUGCUCCUUG